rnacentral:rRNA from 1 species
GGCCUACGGGGGGCAGCAGUGGGGAAUAUUGCACAAUGGGGGAAACCCUGAUGCAGCGACGCCGCGUGAGUGAAGAAGUAAUUCGUUAUGUAAAGCUCUAUCAGCAGGGAAGAAAAUGACGGUACCUGAGUAAGAAGCCCCGGCUAACUACGCGCCAGCAGCCGCGGUAAUACGUAGGGGGCAAGCGUUAUCCGGAUUUACUGGGUGUAAAGGGAGCGUAGACGGCAGUGCAAGUCAGGAGUGAAAGCCCGGGGCCCAACCCCGGGACUGCUCUUGGAACUGCGCGGCUGGAGUGCAGGAGGGGC